rnacentral:piRNA from 1 species
GCAGAAAAUCUUAAGCUUGAUAAUGGGCA